rnacentral:rRNA from 1 species
AACGCGAAGAACCUUACCUGGGUUUGACAUAUACGGAAAACCGGCAGAGAUGUCGGGUCCGCAAGGGCCGUAUACAGGUGGUGCAUGGCUGUCGUCAGCUCGUGUCGUGAGAUGUUGGGUUAAGUCCCGCAACGAGCGCAACCCUCGUCCUAUGUUGCCAGCGGAUAAUGCCGGGGACUCAUAGGAGACUGCCGGGGUCAACUCGGAGGAAGGUGGGGAUGACGUCAAGUCAUCAUGCCCCUUAUGUCCAGGGUUUCACGCAUGCUACAAUGGCCGGUACAAAGGGCUGCGAUACCGCAAGGUGGAGCGAAUCCCAAAAAGCUGGUCUCAGUUCGGAUUGGGGUCUGCAACUCGACCCCAUGAAGUCGGAGUCGCUAGUAAUCGCAGAUCAGCAACGCUGCGGUGAAUACGUUCCCGGGCCUUGUACACACCG